CCCAGAAGAAGAAGAGCUUUGCCCAAGCAACCGUCACUUUUCAGUCGAUCCUCGCACCGUGUAGUCCUGAAGGCGACACUAUGGCUUUUUUUCUUUUAUCCCUAGGCGCUCUCAGUGCAGUUUCCAUGCGGAGCUGCAGCUACAGUUGUCCCUCGAGUUCCGAGCAGCACCUUUGACCUUUGGCUUCCGAUAGACCUGGGCAGCUGGGAGCCUCUGAGGAAUCCAACGAGCAAGCCAUGUAAAAAAGGUUCGCCCUCAUCUCGUACCCUAGUGCACCCCGACGUCAAUAUCGCAUUUAUGAAACAUCUGCCAUCUCUGAUUUUCCUCUUUGAGGACGAGGAUAUAUUGGAGAAAAAGACCGAGAUCAUACAAGCCGGGCUUUCCUGCCAGAGAAGUGCUGAAAUGCGACGAGUGCAAGGAUCUGGCAAGACCGUCAACCAACUUGCGGCCGAACAUGGUGAUACUCCUUCUGAAUGUUCCCCUCGGUGACUACUCCGUGAACGAAUGCCACAUUGACGACCCAUGGAGGGGUGACCCGUUUUGGCGUAUUCGUGUAGUGAAGAGGACGUUGAAUAUCACGUGACGUCCCAUCGGGGUGGUUGCGGUUUCUUCUCCGAGGACUGAAAGCGUGCAGCACUUGCCAAGGGCAUCAAUACGUGGGGGGUAUUUGGAUUUUUUUAUUGUGUUACAUUUUGGAAUAAUUAUAUAAUAUUAUAUUAUUCGUUGUUCUAUCGCUUCAACUUCUCGUAUUAAAGAUCCGUCCUUCGGCUCA